rnacentral:lncRNA from 1 species
UGAUCUCUCUAUCCAAUGCAGCUUAAAGAGAGGAAGUAAUCUUUAUGCUUUAUCUGAAAAUGCUCUAUAGACACACAGAAAAAAUCGGAAUGUUGGAGAGAAAGAAUGAGAGACAAUCGAGUCAGCUGAAUAGAAGAAUGCUGAGCGGGAGAGCGAGUCAAGAAAGAAGCAGCAGAUCUGAUAAGAAGCAGCUGCGAGCUGUGUUGUGUUUGGAUUUUCUCUUUCUCUUUCUCUAUGUCCUUCGGUGUUUGUAACAGUGUCAUUUAGAGGAUGAUGACACCUGUUUUUUUAUUCAAAUAAACUAACAUAUUAUUAUAUAAAUAGUUAAUUAAAUUACAAAGUAUUAUAGUAGGUGGAGCUACGCUUUCCUUUUUCCUUAUUUAUUUAUUUAUUUAUUUUUUUAGAAAAGAAGGCUCCUAAAUCCAUUAAUC